CCUACGGGAGGCAGCAGUAGGGAAUAUUGGACAAUGGGGGAAACCCUGAUCCAGCAAUGCCGCGUGAGCGAUGAAGGCCUUAGGGUUGUAAAGCUCUUUUACCCGGGAUGAUAAUGACAGUACCGGGAGAAUAAGCCCCGGCUAACUCCGUGCCAGCAGCCGCGGUAAU
rnacentral:rRNA from 1 species